rnacentral:rRNA from 1 species
GCAUAACUGUAAACACCGAUAGCAAUUUACCCGCAAUCCGCCAGGGAACUACAAGCAUUAGCUUGAAACCCAAAGGACUUGGCGGUGCUUUAGACCCACCUAGAGGAGCCUGUUCUAGAACUGAUAACCCCCGUUCAACCUCACCCUGCUUUGUCAUACCCGCCUAUAUACCGCCGUCGUCAGCUUACCUUGUGAAAGAUUAUAAGUGAGCAAGAUUGGUACAACCCAAAACGUCAGGUCGAGGUGUAGUGUAUAGCAGGGGAAGAAAUGGGCUACAUUUAUCUACUGAUAAACACGGAUUAUUUAUUGAAAAAUAAAACUGAAGGAGGAUUUAGCAGUAAGAAGAAAAUAGAGAGUUCUUCUGAAACAGGCUCUGAAGCGCGC